rnacentral:misc_RNA from 1 species
GUGAAUCAUCGAAUUUUUGAACGCAAAUUGCACUCUCCUCGGAGAGUAUGCCUGUUUGAGGGUCAGCCUAAAUAAAAUCGGCUUGGUUGCUGUGUUUCACGGUAACGUUUGGUCGGAACUUGGGUCAUCUUAAACCGAAAGGUCUAAGCGACUUAAAAUUUUUUUUACGAUCUUACGAACGUUUCUAAGAUUUUUUCUUUUACGUUCAAGGUAUCGUGAUUAUUAGACGUGACUGUCGUAUCGGAUCGCGUCCAUAAUAUUUUUUCUUUAACUGACCUCAGACAGGUAAGAGUACCCG